GUAAUCGUUGUUUAAAUUAUCCUAUCGCUGGUUAUUUUUCAAGGAAGUUGCGUAUACCCGAUCUAUUUAUAACGUACACAGAGCUUAACGAAGUAUAAUAAUUGGUUCACGAUGAUUCAGUAAACACACGAGACAAAGCGGUUCUUCCGUUUACAAUUUACUCGAAACAUUUUGCCAAGAAAGCAAUUAUUUUUCCUCCUUAGUCAUCGACCGAGGUCAACGCGAAUUGGUCGCCCGAACGCGCAUCAGUCAUAAGUCAGCAUGCAUAAGUCACGGCACACUUACAAUUAGUACACUCAGGAUAGACGUACGUACAUGUACAUACAGCACCGGUUAUAACUUGUCGUUAGUAACAGGUGGUUUCGGCCGGUGCCACCUGUAAUUACCGGUUGCGAGCAACCGAUAACGAUUAAGGCCGGCCAGGCCGGGUCAGCUGCGACCCUCUGCGACUUACCUGCAUGCGAACGGUGACAAGAUACAACGGCGCGGCGUGCACGCACGAUCGCUCGCGACGAUACGUCGUUAAUCGAGAUGUCGGCCUACGCGAUACGACUUCUCGUUUGUAAAGCGCGGACGAACGACACGGCCGGGUGCACCUUGUGCCUUGUCGAUCGUCUGCCAGUGCGCCGUGAACUUUUUUUUCCAGUCGUCGAUCGCGCUGCAUGGAGGACACGCGUUGGUAUGUAACUACGUGAUCGAUGUCAACCAGUUACCUUUACGUAAGCAUCCAAGCUCGAGUCUUUCACGGCGCCACGCAAUUACGGCAAAUUGCUGUUUGCCUGCAAGUAUCAGCGGAGAACGCGUCUCUCGCUCGGAACUUUGGCGCGUAGCCGGUUUUUCCGCAGCUUUCCGUGACUCCAGUUCGCGUUGGUAUCGGCUCCGUGUC